rnacentral:rRNA from 1 species
AUGGCGUCGGCACAACCGGAUCUGCAGACCAUCGUGCUGAGAGUGACCAUUCACUGCCAUGGCUGCAAGAAGAAGGUCCGGAAGGUGCUCAAGAACAUCCAAGGCGUGCAGGACGUCAAGGUAGAUGCGCAGCAGCACAAGGUGACCGUGACGGGCACCGUGGACGCCGAGACGCUCGUCAAGAGGCUGUACAAGUCAGGCAAGCAUGCCCUGCCAUGGCAACACACACCCGCCGCGCCUGCCAACAGCCCCGAGGCUGCGCCCGCAACUGAGGCCCCGGCGCCGGCCCCUCCGGCCAAGGACGGCAGCAAGGAUCCUGCUGCGGCGGACAAGAAGCCAGCGGAACCUGUGAAGGAGCUGCAUGCCGACAGCUCGGAUAAGAAGCUGGAGCAGGAGGAGACGUCCCCGGAGAAGAAGCCUGAGACGGAGAAGGAAGCAGAGUGUGAGAAGAAGGCUGAGAAAGACGCGGCGAAACCAAGCGAUGAGGCAAACAAAGACGGCGGCGAUGGCGCGGCGACCGAGCCCAAGGCAAAGGGCACCGAGCCCGAGAGUGAAUCCGCUGCCGCCACAAAGGAGGCCGGCGAUGACGAGGCCGAAGACAAGAAGAAACAGAGCAAGCCCAAGGACGCACCUGCGCCGGACAGGUCCCUAUCUCCGUCGCCGGCGCAGGCGCACGCGCAGCAGGAGUUCAACCCGUACAGCGCGCCACAGCCUGUGAUGAGCAGCUGA